GAUGAACGCUGGCGGCGUGCCUAAUACAUGCAAGUCGAGCGAACAGACGAGGAGCUUGCUCCUCUGACGUUAGCGGCGGACGGGUGAGUAACACGUGGAUAACCUACCUAUAAGACUGGGAUAACUUCGGGAAACCGGAGCUAAUACCGGAUAAUAUAUUGAACCGCAUGGUUCAAUAGUGAAAGACGGUUUUGCUGUCACUUAUAGAUGGAUCCGCGCCGCAUGAGCUAGUUGGUAAGGUAACGGCUUACCAAGGCAACGAUGCGUAGCCGACCUGAGAGGGUGAUCGGCCACACUGGAAGUGAGACACGGUCCAGACUCCUACGGGAGGCAGCAGUAGGGAAUCUUACGCAAUGGGCGAAAGCGUGACGGAGCAACGCCGCGUGAGUGAUGAAGGUCUUCGGAUCGUAAAACUCUGUUAUUAGGGAAGAACAAAUGUGUAAGUAACUAUGCACGUCUUGACGGUACCUAAUCAGAAAGCCACGGCUAACUACGUG
rnacentral:rRNA from 1 species